GAUGACAGAUUGAGAGCUCUUUCUUGAUUCUGUGGGUGGUGGUGCAUGGCCGUUCUUAGUUGGUGGAGCGAUUUGUCUGGUUAAUUCCGAUAACGAACGAGACUCUUACUUGCUAAAUAGCUACUCGAGCAUCUAGCUCGGAGAUAACUUCUUAGAGGGACUAGUGGCGUUUAGCCACACGAGAUUGAGCAAUAACAGGUCUGUGAUGCCCUUAGAUGUUCGGGGCCGCACGCGCGCUACACUGACCGGAUCAUCGUGUGCUUCCCUUGGCCGAAAGGCUCGGGUAAUCCCUUGAACCCCGGUCGUGCUAGGGAUAGGGAAUUGCAAUUGUUUCCCUUGAACGAGGAAUUCCCAGUAAGCGCGAGUCAUUAGCUCGCGUUGAUUACGUCCUCCCCCUUUGUAA
rnacentral:rRNA from 1 species